UCCCUGCUAUCCAGCCAUUUGGGCAAAAAAUAAUUGUAUAAUUUUGUAAAAUUAACUUCGCCUAUUACUUGAGAACAUGCAAAUAACAUCAUUUAUUGCAACGAAAAUAUUAUAGAUAGAUACACAGACAUUUGUGGAAACUUGCAGUAUCUGAUGCAGAUAAUUGGCUCAGCUCCGACUCUAUUCACGGAUAGUAAACCUCGAUUUUCUUCAUGUUUAAUCUUCAUUCAUCGUGCUACGUCAUAGAGCUAAUAAAUCAGCGGAAUAUUCUAUAUGACAUAUAAUUUUUAUUGUCAUUUAUAAUUGCAAACAUGAACCAUAUUUAGGACAAAUUUUUGAAAUGCGUUGCCGAUAAAAUUUCAUUCUUACAAUAUUACAGGGCGGAAUAAAUCUAUUUUAAAUAUUAACAUUAUGCUGGCUUUAGAUUGUUUGUUUUUAUGGUUUAAAGCAAAUAUAUACAAUGAUAGUGAACGUUUCUUGCUUGUUUGUUUGUUAUUUUCAUAGUAUGUAGACUAAAAAUGCGAUAAUACGAAUGUUUCCUCCAUUGCCAGAAAUCCCAUAAUAUGACAUUGACAAGAAAUUUUUCCAAACUUAAAUAGACAUAUUUUCAGUUAACAGAUUUGUUUUGAAAAAUCAGAUAACACAAACUUAUUUGAGCUUGACAACCCGUUACAAGUUUUAUCACAGUAUAUAUAAAAUCAAUACAUAUUCAUACAGUAAAUAAGCAAUACAUAAUAUUGAUAUGAGAAAACAGAUUUAAUUACAAUGGACACUACAUGCAUCGACACUUGAAACAUACGAGAAAAAUGUCAAAAUCUCAUAUUGGUCAACGGCAACAGUUUAAAUAUUAAAAUUGCAGUUUCGAUUCUAACACUAUAACUUUAUCUCAUACUCGCAAAUUGAAAUUUGAUAUAGAACAUUUCGGAAGUGUUGAAUUCGUUUUCA